GUGUCAGCAGCCGCGGUAAUACGUAGGUGGCGAGCGUUAUCCGGAAUUACUGGGCGUAAAGCGCAAGCAGGCGGUCUGUUAAGUUUGACGUAAAAUCUCCUGGCUUAACUGGGAGGGGUCGUUGGAGACUGGCAGACUUGAGGCGAUGAGAGGGGCAUGGAAUUCCCGGUGUAGUGGUGGAAUGCGUAGAGAUCGGGAGGAACACCAGAGGCGAAAGCGGUGCCCUGGCAUUGGCCUGACGCUGAGAUGCGAAAGCGUGGGGAGCGAACGGGAUUAGAAACCCUCGUAGUCC
rnacentral:rRNA from 1 species